CGAGAGAGGCUGCAGUUUGCUGUAAACAGGAACUGAGAAAUUAAAGCAAUUGAAAGGCAGCAGGAGGCAGGCAGCCAAAUUAGAAUGGCAUGUGCAGAAGGCGUUUCCCAGCCUCAAGGCAUCAGAAUAGGCUGCAUAAGAACGCUUCCUCCUCCGCUCGGCUCUAACCGGAGUUGCUGAAGCCCUAAGAAGGAGCAGAUUUACCUCCCCUCUUCGUAAGCAUGCCUUUUCCCGGAGAACCGUGUGCCUACCGGGAUUCCUACAGUGUGAGCCUCCCCUCAUGGACACUCGUAUUGGAACCACCAAGCUACGUGGCCGAGACAACCCUGACAGACUUGGAGAUUCUCAUCCCUGAACCUUACGAAUAUCCAGAUGGGGACCUCUAUCCGUGCGACCUUCCUCCGUCGCACUGCCACUUGCCUCCCGUAUCCCCCCUCGUCUUUGCCUCCUUUGUCACUGAGUUGCUUGAGGCCUAAACAUGGCAGACCAGCUGCCAUAUUUCAGUAGGUCCACUUCACGGAGGACACUAUGAAGAGAAGUGAGCCCCAGCGUGGAGCCCGAGGAAAGUGGAAGAGGAUACGACUAGAGUAGCAUCUUAGAAAGGUUGUCAGCUUGAGUUCACCAUCAUUACUGGUCUCUGCUCUGAAAAAUCAUGAGCACCAACCACCAGGAUGUCUCCUGUAUGUGAAUAUACCUAUACUUUGGAAAUAUAUAAAGAUAUAUUAAUAAUAACGAAUACUGUGAAUUAUA